rnacentral:rRNA from 1 species
AAACUAGGAUUAGAUACCCUAUUAUUUAAAUUUGAAUAAUAAUUUUUUUAGGAAUUUGGUUAUACAAAAAAUUAAAUUGAUUUGGCGGUUUUUUAAACUUUUUAGAGGAACCUGUUGAUUAAUUUGAUAAUCCACGAUUUAAUUUACCUUAAUUUUCUUGUAUAUCUCUAUAAUUGAAUAUAUUUUGAGGUGAAUUUUCUUUUUUCUAUUAUAGAAACUAAUUUAGGUCAAGGUGCAGUUGUAUUGAGGUUCAAAUGGGUUACAUUAAUUUAGGUUUGUGGGGGGCUUAUUUAAAUAAAUGUAAAAAAUGGAUUUAAAAGUAAGAUUUUUUAUUCAAAAAUUUGAAUCAUGCUCUAGAUUAUGUACAUAUCGCCCGUCAUUCUCAUCAAGUGAGACAAGUCGCAACAAAGUAGAUGUAUUGGAAAAUGUAUCUAGCGGAUA